ensembl:lncRNA
AUAUUCUCAUCAUAAGGUUUCGGGGGAUAAGGGGAGUUUGGUUAAGCUAAUUAUCGGUCGGAUAAAAACGUGUGUACGUGUACACGUGUGUACGUGUACACGUGUGUACGUGUGUACGUGUACACGUGUGUACGUGUACACGUGUGUACGUGUGUACGUGUACACGUGUGUACGUGUGUACGUGUGUACGUGUGUACGUGUGUACGUGUGUACGUGUACACGUGUGUACGUGUGUACGUGUGUACGUGUGUACGUGUGUACGUGUACACGUGUGUACGUGUGUACGUGUACACGUGUGUACGUGUGUACGUGUACACGUGUGUACGUGUGUACGUGUGUACGUGUACACGUGUGUACGUGUGUACGUGUGUACGUGUACACGUGUGUACGUGUGUACGUGUACACGUGUGUACGUGUACACGUGUGUACGUGUACACGUGUGUACGUGUACACGUGUGUACGUGUACACGUGUGUACGUGUGUACGUGUGUACGUGUGUACGUGUGUACGUGUACACGUGUGUACGUGUGUACGUGUGUACGUGUACACGUGUGUACGUGUGUACGUGUACACGUGUGUACGUGUGUACGUGUGUACGUGUGUACGUGUGUACGUGUGUACGUGUGUACGUGUGUACGUGUACACGUGUGUACGUGUACACGUGUGUACGUGUACACGUGUGUACGUGUGUACGUGUGUACGUGUACACGUGUGUACGUGUACACGUGUGUACGUGUGUACGUGUGUACGUGUGUACGUGUGUACGUGUGUACGUGUGUACGUGUACACGUGUGUACGUGUGUACGUGUGUACGUGUGUACGUGUACACGUGUGUACGUGUACACGUGUGUACGUGUACACGUGUGUACGUGUGUACGUGUGUACGUGUACACGUGUGUACGUGUACACGUGUGUACGUGUGUACGUGUACACGUGUGUACGUGUACACGUGUGUACGUGUACACGUGUGUACGUGUGUACGUGUGUACGUGUACACGUGUGUACGUGUGUACGUGUACACGUGUGUACGUGUACACGUGCGUACGUGUAUACGUGUAUACGUGCGUACGUGUGUACGUGCGUACGUGUGUACGUGUACACGUGUGUACGUGUACACGUGUGUACGUGUGUACGUGUGUACGUGUGUACGUGUGUACGUGUGUACGUGUGUACGUGUGUACGUGUGUACGUGUGUACGUGUGUACGUGUGUACGUGUGUACGUGUACACGUGUGUACGUGUACACGUGUGUACGUGUGUACGUGUGUACGUGUACACGUGUGUACGUGUAUACGUGUAUACGUGCGUACGUGUAUACGUGUAUACGUGCGUACGUGUGUACGUGUGUACGUGUGUACGUGUGUACGUGUGUACGUGUGUACGUGUACACGUGUGUACGUGUGUACGUGUGUACGUGUGUACGUGUGUACGUGUGUACGUGUACACGUGUGUACGUGUACACGUGUGUACGUGUACACGUGUGUACGUGUACACGUGUGUACGUGUGUACGUGUUCACGUGUGUACGUGUGUACGUGUGUACGUGUACACGUGUGUACGUGUGUACGUGUGUACGUGUGUACGUGUGUACGUGUGUACGUGUGUACGUGUACACGUGUGUACGUGUACACGUGUGUACGUGUGUACGUGUACACGUGUGUACGUGUGUACGUGUACACGUGUGUACGUGUACACGUGUGUACGUGUACACGUGUGUACGUGUACACGUGUGUACGUGUGUACGUGUGUACGUGUGUACGUGUGUACGUGUGUACGUGUACACGUGUGUACGUGUGUACGUGUGUACGUGUGUACGUGUACACGUGUGUACGUGUACAAGGAAUAGUUUAAAAAGAAUUUCAGCUUUGGGUGCUGAUGGUGGGGCUGCUGUUUCUUCCUUGAAGUUUUGGGAAGGGCAGAUAUUCUUCUUUUUUGGUUUACAACACCCAAGGUAUUUUAUAUACUGCAAAGACUCUUCAUUUUAAAAGAUGAUUUUCGAUAAUGCCAGAAAUAGGUAUGAAGAUUAGGAGUUGACAAGUAUAGGAUGGAGACUAAUUGACCAAUGGUAAUGAAAGGAUAUUCUGCUGGCUGUCCUCCAAUUCAUGUUACGGUUAGUAGGUCCACUACUAAGAAUCAGAAUAGGCAUUGGCUAAGUGGUCGGAAUAUCAUUUCUCAUUUUGAAGUGUGAAGUGAGGAAAUG